GCCAUAGAAGAAUUAUAACUCUUUGUAUCUUUGUGCUUGUAGCACCUAGUGGCAUAGGAAGCAUAGCUAAAACUGUAAUUGCCAAAAUAGAUAAAUUCCUAAAUCUUUUCACGCAAAUAAAAAAAAAUAACAAUGUGUCAGGGAGACGUCAAUUCACCUAGCAGACAUUGCGUCAAUCUAAUUAGGAAUAGUUUGUACGUGGCCCUGUUUAGUUCCCUACGCACAAAAUUUUCAUCCGUUCCAUCGAAUCUUUGGACAUAUACAUGAAACAUUAAAUGUAGAUAAAAAAUAAACUAAUUACAUAUUUUGGUUGAAAAUCGCG
rnacentral:lncRNA from 1 species